AAACCAGGCCAGUUUCGCUUCCUUUCAGCUGCUGAAUCAGAGCUGGGUAGAUGGCUCGAGAAGGACGUCGGAUGUCAUUGUCCUCCCAGCUUUUCGAUCUUCCCCCGAAGCCCCUCAAUAAAAUGGUUUGAUCCCAGUGCUAGUGUUCUGUGUUGUUUGUCGCGACGCGCUGCCUUUGAGCCCCCGCCGCGCCUGCGCGUGGCGCCGGGGGUCAGGCUGCAGCGCCAGAGCACGUGCUCGCGCAUAACUGGGGUCGUCUGCCCCCGCGGCGGCGGCCCUUUUAACCGCGAGCGACACGGCCGCCCUGGGCUGCCGGGGCGGGGUAUACAGAGGCCUGGGGAAGACGUCGGGGGUCCUGUAGUCUGCUUAUUUCUUGUGACUUCCCUGAGUCCGAGUGUCACUUUCAUGGGGACCUGUGAGACGCGCCGGUUCAUUUAACCGCCGUGUGGAUGGCCAUCUGCAGGGAGAGGAGAUGAGAAAUAGGCUGUGGCCUUGAACGGUUCAAGGGCCGUGGUGUACUCCACUGGAAUUGCCUCCCGGUCUUGGGCUUCAUGAGCUUACUAACUUUGAUAAGGGGUAUUCGCGGACUACCUUAAAAUAGGCUUCCCUGGUGGCUCAGACGGUAAAGCGUCUGUCUGCAAUACAGGAAAUACAGGUUUGAUCUCUGGGUUGGGAAGAUUCCCCUGGAGAAGGAAAUGGCAGCCUACUCCAGUACUCUUGCCUGGAAAACCCCAUAGAGGAAGGAGCCUGGUAGCUACGGUCCAUGAGGGUGCAAAGAGUCGGACCCGUCUGAGCGACUUCACUUUCUUUGACUUAUAGAGUAUGCCCCAGACAGUGUGAACAGCUCACAGUACCAAGGUAUUUUGCCGCAGGGCACAACAUAGGCACCUACUUGCAGGUGUAAUCCGCAUUCUGGGUGUUUUAAAAACGUGUACAAAGGGAGAGUUGAGUUUUAUCAUCCACUGGAUGGACACGAGUUUGAGCAAGCUCUCGGGGUUGGUGAUGGACAGGAAAGCCUGGCGUGCUGCAGUCCUCGGGUGGCAAAGAGAUGACUGGGGGGCUGAAGUGAAGUAGUAUUUGGGGCAAAGUAAGAGCUGCAGCCCAGGAAACAGCUCUGAGAACUGCUCCAAAGAAGCAAGUCAGUACAAAAGAGAUUUUGGUGAGGGGAUGCAUGCAAUUGAGCACGUAUUUCUCUAGUUUUGUUAGUCUCGUAAAGCUUUUGCUAGUCACAGGGACAGUUGUCACCAUGAGGUUUUCAGUGUUUUUGUGGAUAUGAAGGGAGAAAGUUGAACUCAGCUCCUGAAAAUGUAUCUGAAGACCUGUCUCCCAGUCCCUGCCUGGAGCACAGAGUGCUUUAUUACUGCUCUCCACUUUUGGGGGUGGGUGUUGAAGGUCACCAGCUGCAGCAACACAGGAUUUAAUCCUUGGAGAGGUAUAU
ensembl:lncRNA